CAGCAGCCGCGGUAAAACGAAGGGUGCAAGCGUUAAUCGGAAUUACUGGGCGUAAAGCGUGCGUAGGCGGUUUGUUAAGUCUGUUGUGAAAUCCCCGGGCUCAACCUGGGAAUGGCAAUGGAUACUGGCAAGCUAGAGUGUGUCAGAGGAUGGUGGAAUUCCCGGUGUAGCGGUGAAAUGCGUAGAGAUCGGGAGGAACAUCAGUGGCGAAGGCGGCCAUCUGGGACAACACUGACGCUGAGGCACGGAAGCGUGGGGAGCAAACAGGAUUAGAUACCCGAGUAGUCCCUGUCUCUUAUAC
rnacentral:rRNA from 1 species